GACGAACGCUGGCGGCGUGCUUAACACAUGCAAGUCGAACGGUGAUCUUGAGAGCUUGCUCUUGGGUGAUCAGUGGCGAACGGGUGAGUAACACGUGAGUAACCUGCCCCUGACCCUGGAAUAACUUCGGGAAACCGAAGCUAAUACCGGAUAUGACACAGAGCCGCAUGGUUUCUGUGUGGAAAGUUUUUCGGUUGGGGAUGGACUCGCGGCCUAUCAGCUUGUUGGUGAGGUAAUGGCUCACCAAGGCGACGACGGGUAGCCGGCCUGAGAGGGCGACCGGCCACACUGGGACUGAGACACGGCCCAGACUCCUACGGGAGGCAGCAGUGGGGAAUAUUGCACAAUGGGCGAAAGCCUGAUGCAGCGACGCCGCGUGAGGGAUGAAGGCCUUCGGGUUGUAAACCUCUUUCAGUAGGGAAGAAGCGCAAGUGACGGUACCUACAGAAGAAGCACCGGCUAACUACGUGCCAGCCGCCGCGGUAA
rnacentral:rRNA from 1 species